GACGAACGCUGGCGGCGUGCUUAACACAUGCAAGUCGAACGAAGAGCGAUGGAAGCUUGCUUCUAUCAAUCUUAGUGGCGAACGGGUGAGUAACGCGUAAUCAACCUGCCCUUCAGAGGGGGACAACAGUUGGAAACGACUGCUAAUACCGCAUACGAUCUAAUCUCGGCAUCGAGGAUAGAUGAAAGGUGGCCUCUACAUGUAAGCUAUCACUGAAGGAGGGGAUUGCGUCUGAUUAGCUAGUUGGGGGGGUAACGGCCCACCAAGGCGAUGAUCAGUAGCCGGACUGAGAGGAUGAACGGCCACAUUGGGACUGAGACACGGCCCAGACUCCUAUGGGAGGCAGCAGUGGGGAAUCUUCCGCAAUGGACGAAAGUCUGACGGAGCAACGCCGCGUGAGUGAUGACGGCCUUCGGGUUGUAAAGCUCUGUUAAUCGGGACGAAAGGCCUUCUUGCGAAUAGUGAGAAGGAUUGACGGUACCGGAAGAGAAAGCCACGGCUAACUACGUG
rnacentral:rRNA from 1 species